AACAGAGGAAGUUUUCGCAUUCUGACUGCAGCCUGAGUUCCCCGGAGCAAGGCUGCUUCUCUCCACCCACUCCUCACCAAGAACUCCUGAACUUGAGAGUGGACGACUUCAAAGCUAGCUCUCACAGACUCACCUGGAAAAGAGUUCAGCUGCGCGUUCAUUGAACCGAGAGGCCAGAUCACCUAUGUGAGGCGGUGGGAACCAUAUGGAGAUUUAUAUUAGAACUUCAGCAAAGUGCACAGCUGCAGCCGGCAGAAGCCAGCUCUCGGGCUGACAGGCAAAUGAACCAGAUCGUGGACGGGGCCUCUGGGUGGCAGCUCCGGCCUUUUGGUUGUUGGACAACUAUAGUCAGAACUGAAAUGGAACAGGGGCAGGAGAAAUAACACACUUUUACUCCACGCAACUGUUGCUUUCACAUGAUCUUCAGGAAUGUAACUGGGAUAAUUGUCCAAAUUGAAUCCCAUACCCUGUCAUGGUACUGAUUAUUAAGGUGACUAUAUGAAAGGAUCACUCCAAAAUAACAGGAAUCUUGAGGAACCCAUUAAUGUAAAGCUGCGGCCAGAGUUCCAUGAGGAGGCAGAAUGUUCUAGAUGAUCCCUGUCUCUUCUCCAUUGAGGAAGUCGUUUCUUGCCUCUCUGUAAGCUCAGUUAAUGUAAGUAGAUUCUGGUUGUAACAGGAAAUGAAAAAAAAAAA
rnacentral:lncRNA from 1 species